GCCGGCUUAGCUCAGUUGGUAGAGCACCGCUCUUGUAAAGCGGGGGUCGUGGGUUCGAGCCCCUCAGCCGGCA
rnacentral:tRNA from 3 species